ensembl:lncRNA
CGUGAUUUUCCAGCAAUUCUCUUAUUCUGUGACAUGAGGCUGUUUUCAAGCACGUUUGCCCCAAAAUUUCCCUCAUGAACGUUCAGUUCUCUGAGAAUGGAAUUCUGGGUCUGUUUGGAGUGUGCAACCUUUUCUGCGUCUGCCCUUCAGGAGAAUACUGUGAGAAACACUAUCAAGAGCUCUGCUGAAAUACCAAACGAUUACAUCAACUGGCUUCCAUUGUUCAGGUAGAAAAUUUCUUCUCGGUUUCUUGUCAGUAAACUUAUUUGCUGCCUAUGGGAGGUUCAUGCCUCUCUUUUGAGACAGUGACUGACAGCCAAC